rnacentral:tRNA from 1 species
GUAGUAUUACUCAAGUGGUAGAGUGCCUGCCUAGCAAGCAUGAAGCCUUGAGUUUAAACCUCAGUACUGC